UAUCCGUAGGUGAACCUGCGGAAGGAUCAUUAUCGUAAAACCGAGGUGCGAGGGCUGUCGCUGACCUUUCCGGACGUGCACGCCCGAGCGGUCUAACAGAAUUCAUCUCACCCCUUGUGCACAAUAGCGAGGGUCCCUUUCUGGCUCGUCCGGAGGGGGGCUCGCGUUUUCAAAUAAACUUGAAGUAGUGUAGAAUGUCCUUUUUUUGCGUUAACACGCAAUAAAUACAACUUUCAACAACGGAUCUCUUGGCUCUC
rnacentral:misc_RNA from 1 species